UUGCACGCUGGCGGCAGGCCUAACACAUGCAAGUCGAGCGGAUGAAGGGAGCUUGCUCCUGGAUUCAGCGGCGGACGGGUGAGUAAUGCCUAGGAAUCUGCCUGGUAGUGGGGGAUAACGUCCGGAAACGGGCGCUAAUACCGCAUACGUCCUGAGGGAGAAAGUGGGGGAUCUUCGGACCUCACGCUAUCAGAUGAGCCUAGGUCGGAUUAGCUAGUUGGUGGGGUAAAGGCCUACCAAGGCGACGAUCCGUAACUGGUCUGAGAGGAUGAUCAGUCACACUGGAACUGAGACACGGUCCAGACUCCUACGGGAGGCAGCAGUGGGGAAUAUUGGACAAUGGGCGAAAGCCUGAUCCAGCCAUGCCGCGUGUGUGAAGAAGGUCUUCGGAUUGUAAAGCACUUUAAGUUGGGAGGAAGGGCAGUAAGUUAAUACCUGGCUGUUUUGACGUUACCAACAGAAUAAGCACCGGCUAACUUCGU
rnacentral:rRNA from 1 species